AACACCAUUGUUAACCGUAUCUUCUCUGUGUUAUUGUGCUGUCCGCCACCGCCUCCUUCUUAUCAACGGCGAUAUACAAGUCAAAUCCGAUGUAUGUAAGGGGUUUCUUAUAUUCUGUUGACGACUCCUACUCCUUCCUCUGUGUUAAUUAGGGUUUUAUCAUCGUUUAUAUGCAAUGAAGAUCCGAUUUAAUACAGGAUAUUGAUGGCGAUUUUAAUUUCUUGAAAUCAAGGUAGCACAAAUGGGCAGUUUGCUGGAAACUCUUCAUUGCCAUCUGCAAGUAAUGCAAAGACUUCCCCAAAAAAGGCGAAUGUUGGCCAGAAAAAAAAGUUAGAAGCAUCAGUUUCUUCGUUAAGGGAAAAUGACAUAUGCAAGGAAUCGAAGAGGCAAACAAUUAACGCUGAUAAUGUAUUCAAGGCGCUUGAAGAGAUCGAGUUUCCAUAAUUCAUUGCACCACUAAGAGCCUAUCAAUUUGAUAACAUACACUUUCUUUAUAGGAUAUGCAAAUCGAUUCCUUGCAUUGCACCACUAAAGACGUAUUCAAGGUACACUUUCUUUAUAAAGAUGUUUUUUUUUAAUUUCAUAACUGAUUAGUUUGCUAAAUAUGAUUACA
rnacentral:lncRNA from 1 species